GAACGCUGGCGGCGUGCCUAAUACAUGCAAGUCGAGCGAACAGACGAGGAGCUUGCUCCUCUGACGUUAGCGGCGGACGGGUGAGUAACACGUGGAUAACCUACCUAUAAGACUGGGAUAACUUCGGGAAACCGGAGCUAAUACCGGAUAACAUGUUGAACCGCAUGGUUCAACAGUGAAAGACGGUUUUGCUGUCACUUAUAGAUGGAUCCGCGCCGCAUUAGCUAGUUGGUAAGGUAACGGCUUACCAAGGCAACGAUGCGUAGCCGACCUGAGAGGGUGAUCGGCCACACUGGAACUGAGACACGGUCCAGACUCCUACGGGAGGCAGCAGUAGGGAAUCUUCCGCAAUGGGCGAAAGCCUGACGGAGCAACGCCGCGUGAGUGAAGAAGGUCUUCGGAUCGUAAAACUCUGUUAUUAGGGAAGAACAAAUGUGUAAGUAACUAUGCACGUCUUGACGGUACCUAAUCAGAAAGCCACGGCUAACUACGUGCCAGCAGCCGCGGUAAUACGUAGGUGGCAAGCGUUAUCCGGAAUUAUUGGGCGUAAAGCGCGCGUAGGCGGUUUUUUAAGUCUGAUGUGAAAGCCCACGGCUCAACCGUGGAGGGUCAUUGGAAACUGGAAAACUUGAGUGCAGAAGAGGAAAGUGGAAUUCCAUGUGUAGCGGUGAAAUGCGCAGAGAUAUGGAGGAACACCAGUGGCGAAGGCGACUUUCUGGUCUGUAACUGACGCUGAUGUGCGAAAGCGUGGGGAUCAAACAGGAUUAGAUACCCUGGUAGUCCACGCCG
rnacentral:rRNA from 1 species